UUCGCCACGCCCGCUACAAGAAACUUAAAUGAAUUGACGGGGGCCCGCACAAGCGGUGGAGUAUGUGGUUUAAUUCGAUGCAACGCGAAGAACCUUACCUGGUCUUGACAUCCCGGAGACCCUUAGGAAACUAGGGGGUGCUUCCAUCUGGAAGAAUCUGGAGACAGGUGCUGCAUGGCUGUCGUCAGCUCGUGUCGUGAGAUGUUGGGUUAAGUCCCGCAACGAGCGCAACCCUUGCCUUUAGUUGCCAGCAGUUCGGCUGGGCACUCUAAAGGGACUGCCGGUGUUAAACCGGAGGAAGGUGGGGAUGACGUCAAGUCCUCAUGGCCUUUAUGACCAGGGCUACACACGUACUACAAUGGCCGAUACAAAGGGCAGCGACACUGCGAGGUGAAGCCAAUCCCGUAAAAUCGGUCUCAGUCCGGAUUGGAGUCUGCAACUCGACUCCAUGAAGUUGGAAUCGCUAGUAAUCGUGGAUCAGCAUGCCACGGUGAAUACGUUCCCGGGCCUU
rnacentral:rRNA from 1 species